rnacentral:tRNA from 1 species
GGCCUGAUAGUUCAGUGGUAGAAUUCUUGCUUUGGGUUGGUGAAAUCUAAUUUGUAAGAGGUCUCCGGUUCGAUCCCGGAUUAGGCCC